rnacentral:tRNA from 1 species
AGCUCAGUGAUAGAGCUUUUGUAUAACACGCAGGAGGCCCUGGGUUCAAUUCCCAG